UGAGAAGAAUUUGAUUAGCUCUAGAUCAAGAGCUGUUUCGUCAGCGAUGAGCGAUUUCAACAUGUAUUAUCUGACUU
rnacentral:snoRNA from 1 species